UACGUAGGUGGCAAGCGUUACUCGGAAUCACUAGGCGUAAAGCGCAGGUAGGCGGUUCGGUAAGUCUCUUGUGAAAGCUCCCGGCUUAACUGGGAGAGGUCAAGGGAAACUGUCGGGCUAGAGUGUGGCAGAGGAUGCUGGAAUUCCCGGUGUAGCGGUGAAAUGCGCAGAUAUCAGGAGGAACACCGGUGGCGAAGGCGGGUCUCUGGGCCGUAACUGACGCUGAGGAGCGAAAGCGUGGGGAGCAAACAGG
rnacentral:rRNA from 1 species